CUUUCGCUGAAGUCAGGAGUGACAGCAAUUAACUCCUCCGCUGCACCGUCCCCAGGGCCAGAUGCCACGUGAGAGACCCCAGGCUGGAGCGAGAACGUGAGGGCCCGGCGCUCCGGGGCAGGGCGGAGGGAUAGCGACCUGGGGCAUCCGCUGUUUGCAGGCCCGGCUAGGGCGGCUGCCAGCCACGGGGGAGAGGCGCUGGCAAGAGCCAGAGAGGAUCCCCUGCAAGAAAUAUAUCGCGUGCUGACACUUUUACGACCCGGGCCGGCUUACAGUACACAGGCCGGUGCACAGCUCCGCUUUCCUCUGCCCAGCUUGACAUCACAUGCUCGCCCCGGGGCUGCCACUUGGAGUCAGGAAAGCCCAUAUAUUUCCCUCCUCAGAUAGGCCUAGUGGUUCUCGUCAGGUGCAGAAAGCCAAUAAAUCACCAGCGAAGUCUCCAUGUAUCUAUCAGUCAGGAGCUUGUCAUCCUCCAGCCUUGAUCCACAUGAAAGCCGGGAGCAGGAGGGGCGGGGUGCGGGGAGGGGGGCGCGGUGGGGGCGGGGCGCGGUCGGGCCUCGGACACCUGGCAGGGAGCUAGCGGGAGGGCUUGGGGAAUCUGCAAAUGUUCACAGUUCCAAGGGACCGCGGGGGAAAUUUACACCUCCUCCCCCUACUGCUUGUGCUUCCUUUCGCUUUGAAGUUCUGUGGCUCCGCACUGGAGUUGGGGAGGCAAGUCCUCCAGCCUCGGGCUUUUAAUAUUCACAUCACGUCCUCUUUGCAGCUACUUUGGGAGGAUUGAAAGCUACAAAGGACGUUUGGGUGACCUCCCCACAACACAAGGUGGGGUGGGGGGUUUCAACCCACACUGCCCCAUCUUGAAUCGCCAUGGAUGACCAAGUAGUUGAAACACGACGGGGGACUUAGGUGCCAGUCCUUCUAGGCAGAAGGGCCCUCUUGGCCUGGAAGUGACACAGAUCAUGUCUGCUCACAUUUCAUGGACAGAAUUAGUUUUAUGGCCCCACCUAACUGCAGGGGCUGAGAAAUGUAGAGGUGCGAAUGUAACUUGUGGUGAGCGUUACUGUCUCUGCUGCAUGUCAUCAGCAUAUGGGAGGUGAUUAAAUCUGAAAGAGAAAGGACAAGAUCGAUCAAGGUAAAGCCCACAGAACGAAAAGAGAAUAGUCAAGGACAAAACCCAGGGAAUCACCUUCUAUAAGUGAAACAAGGAAGAGAGGAGCCCAAGGAUGACACCGAAAAGUGACAUGAAAAGAGUUAAGAAUUAUGAGCCAAUAGUGUUACUCGAGCCAAGGAAGUAUGUCUAUACAGAGGUGCAGAGCAGCAAAUACAGCCUGGAGGAGCAGUAGGAUAAAGACUGAAGUCUCCACUGCAUUUGACCAUCAAGAGGGGGCUGGAGAAUGUCUUAAUAGAAGUGUCUCCUUGCAGUGAAUAUUUACCCAGGUUUUUGUUCUAGAAAAAAAUGGUCAUUUCUAGAGCUGUAUGGGACAGGGCUGUGUUCCUGAGGCCAUAGCCCCCAGAAGUCUUCUGAAAGUGAUGGUGGCAAUUCAGGAGAAGAAAGUGUUAUUUCCUUUUUGUAUUUUCACUUGAAAAAAAACUGAGAAGAGUGUGACUAGUCGAUGAUAUUUUGACCAUACAGCUGUUGAGCACUUCUGAGGAAGAGGAACAUGGAAGAGACAUUUGUUGAGUACCUAUUACAUGCCAGGCAAUUCCCAUACAUAUUUUACUUAAUCUUCACAACCGCCCAGAGAAAGAGAUCUCUUUUAUCCUUAUUUUAUGGACAUGACAAAACUGAAUAGAAGGCCCUAGUUUACAAACUCCAGGGGCUCCGCUCCAUUUGCUAUCAGCUAAGCAGACUUGGAGCGUGGACCCCUAUUUCUGCUUCUCCCGGGACACUGUAAAUCUCUCCAUUUGCCAUCAGUCUGGAGCUGUGAGCAUGCAGAUGAAAGGCGUUGUGGAUCUGUGAACUACCGUAGCUCUACCUUCGGAGGAACUGACUUUCAGCUUUCAGCCACAUGCAUGAGAGGGGCUGAUUCCAUCUGUCGACCUGUCAGGCUGCCUCUCUUUUGGGCUUCUUUCUUCCCUUCUUGGAGUUUCUUUAAUAAAACAUUUCACUCCCUUGAAAAGCGUCUCCCCGAGUGGCUGAGGAGGGCCCAAUAUGGUUCCAUUUAGUUCUCUGGGGAUGAAGAGGAAGCAUCCUCCCGUUACGUAACUUUCCCAGCAAGUGGUAUUUCUGUUUACUCUCCCUCAAAAAACUAUACAAAAAUAAAUGCUAGUUGUCCUCCCAGCUCAUGAGUUCCACUCUGCCCACAGUUUCUGCUCGGAACUUCCCCACUCCCUUGGCGUCCUCCUCAUUCUCCUCCUUUCUUGGACUCCUGACUCCCGUAAAUACUGAUGGGAGGGCGAGUGUGGCGC
rnacentral:lncRNA from 1 species